ACCCCACCCGCCACCCACACUCCGCUCCGCAGCCGGGCCCCGAGCGAGCUCCGCGCGCCCGGGCGGGAGCCGAGGGCUCCCCGGGUUCAAAGGGCCGCAGCCCCGAGGGAAUGCCCUCCUCGCUGUGCCCCGGGGGGCAGAAGCGGACUGCAGGGCGGUGGGACCGGCCUGGGCAACGCCCAGAUUUAAUAAUUCUAACUUUUGAAAUCUCCUGUCAUGAGUGAAUCUACCCUGCACUCGGUUUCUUGCCCUGCUCUGGAAUCCUGCCAUUCCUGCACUACCUUCCUUCAGAUCACAAGUAGGCAGAGAGGCAGGCAGAGAGAGAAAGGAGGAAGCAGGCUCCCUGCAGAGCAGAGAGCCUGAUGUGGGGCUCGAUCCAAGGACCCUGAGAUCAUGACCUGAGCGGAAGGCAGAGGCUUAACCCACGGAACCACCCAGGACCGAUGGGCUGGACAGUCUUAAAACCUGGCUGUGGCCAUUGAUUUGGACGACUCCAGCAGACCCACAUGUCCUACGUUCAACUUUUCAAACCUACCCUGUUUGUAAUUCCUCAGCAGGAUUCUGAGCUCUGCUGGACAUAUUUCAGUUUUACAGAUAAACAGAAAGAUUUUGCUCCAAAUUUGCCCUUAGUGUGGGGCUUUGUUAAUGUGAUAUGCCUCAUAUCAGUGAAUGCCUACUUUUGAGCCAUAUGCCCUGAAUAAGUUAUCAGGUUUCAUUGUUUGCUCUUGGUUAAAAAAAAAAAAAAAUUCCAUAUACUCUGACCUCAUGACACCUAAACCCUGCCAGUGCAGUUAAAACAGGAAAACUUGUCAUCUGAUAUAAUGAAGGCAAAUCAGCUGGUAGAUGCCCUCAAAUGUUUCCGGUUCCACCAGUGUGUGGGCAUUGUGGGUAGCCAUAGAUUAUUAAUCAGGAAUGCGCAGGAGAGGAUUUCUUGUUUGUGUGUUUGUUAAUUUCCAAAAUAAACUCAGUACAAAGAGAUAGA